GUGAUUGAAUACCAAAAAAGUGUUUCCUGAAAAUCUCUAUUUAAAGGAAUUGUGCCUACGUUUCUCAAUAUCAUUGUCUUAGAACAUUUUGGUAGUUCACAUCUCAGAAAAGGAAACGUAACUGACCAACAUGUUGAAUGCACUGAUAGUUCUCUUCCUGGUUUGCCUGGUAAUCGCCACUGUUACCAGCACCGGCAUGUACGGCGGUUACGGAGGAUAUGGCGGAUAUGGAGGAUAUGGAGGAGGAUACGGAGGAGGAUACGGAGGAAUGUGGGGCGGUAGAUACAUGGGCUAGUGACAAGCAGGGUGUGGUCUUCGCUUGAAGAAUCUACUGACAGAAAACGUCAACAUGUAUUGUAACCAAAGUACAUGCUGUCGUGUAUUAACAUGUAUUGAAAACAAAGUACACGCUGCAGAAUAAAACAAUUUGUCAGAGAUC